rnacentral:RNase_P_RNA from 1 species
GUGGGCCAGGCGACCGCGGACCGGCGUGGGCCAGCAAUGGACCGUGUCGGGAUGAGGAAAGUCCGGGCUCCAUAGGGCAGGAAGCAGGCUAACGGCCUGGCGGGGUGACCCGACGGAAAGCGCCGCAGAAAAGAAGACUCCCGCUGCCCGCCUCGGCGGGUGAGAGAAAAGCUGAAACGGUGGUGUAAGAGACCACCAGCAUCGUGGCAACACGGUGGCUUGGCAAGCCCCUUCCGGAGCAAGCGCAUGUAGGAACGCCAAGGUGUGGCCCGCACCGCGUUCGGGUAGCGCGCUAGAGCCCGGCGGAGACGCCGGGAGUAGAUAAAUGGCCGCCCACGACAGAACCCGGCUUAUAGGCCCUCUUC